GACGAACCGUCCAAACGUUAUUCGGAAUUACUGGGCUUAAAGGGUGCGUAGGCGGCGCGGAAAGUUGGGUGUGAAAUCCCUCGGCUCAACCGAGGAACUGCGCCCAAUACUACCGUGCUCGAGGGAGAUAGAGGUGAGCGGAACUUAGGGUGGAGCGGUGAAAUGCGUUGAUAUCCUAAGGAACACCGGUGGCGAAAGCGGCUCACUGGAUCUCUUCUGACGCUGAGGCACGAAAGCUAGGGUAGCGGAACGGG
rnacentral:rRNA from 1 species